GACGUAGGGCGCGAGCGUUGUCCGGAUUUAUUGGGCGUAAAGAGCUCGUAGGCGGCUUGUCGCGUCGUCCGUGAAAACCUGCAGCUCAACUGCAGGCUUGCGGUCGAUACGGGCAGGCUAGAGUUCGGGUAGGGGGAGACUGGAAUUCCCGGUGUAGCGGUGAAAUGCGCAGAUAUCGGGAGGAACACCGGUGGCGAAGGCGGUUCUCUGGGCCUUCCUGACGCUGAGGAGCGAAAGCGUGGGGAGCGAACAGG
rnacentral:rRNA from 1 species